GCUAAUGAUAGAGAGUAAAUGCUCUACUGUACCAAGGAAGCAGCUCUGCUCAGGGAUGCGACAGUGCCCAUCCCCCUCCACCCUCUUCAACAUCAAGUGCUAACCAGGGAAACCACGUGAACCAGCUGGCCUGGAGGUCUCGGUUUACUUAUGUUUAUUCUUUGAAUGCAUGUGGAGAAGCCGAGGCAUCAGAGGCGGAAGUUGUCCAGGGUUACACAGCUAACGAGUGACAGACCAGAACUUGAGCACGAGGAGCCUGAUUCCAGAACCUACGCUGUGGGGUUCCUUCAGCAUCCUAUGUCCUGCUACCUCUAGCAAACAGGCACUAUUACUUACUUGAGCUAUUUAAUGUUAGUAGAUUCAAAGUCUCCAGUUACAAAUUAAGAAAACUAAAACUCCCAGUUACAACCAUUAAUUCCCUUUUCUUUCUAGUUCUAGGCAAAAAUGUCUCCAAAAGCCUUUCAUUUUCUGCCUCUGUCAAGCCCCCACAGGUCUGUGUCCGGAUGGGCCAGUCUCCAGGAGCCGCCAAUGCUGAGUUUCUGUGUUGAAAAGGACAGAGGUCACAGCCCCCUCUUUCUUAAGUCCUGUCAAAGGAUUGUCAGGCUACAGAGGAAGAGGAGCUGAGUUCUCUUGAGGGGUCAGCGGGUCAACUUCCGGUCAAAAAAUAGGAGGGGCCCUGGAACAGACACUGCGGAGGGAGAAGCACGCAGGGGACACACAGACAGACAGCUUGCUUCAGUGGCAACUGGAAGUCAGUCACCAUGAAAAACCUCUGGGCCGCCACAUUGUCUGAAUCCU